GAUGAACGCUGGCGGCGUGCCUAAUACAUGCAAGUCGAGCGAACAGAUGAGGAGCUUGCUCCUCUGACGUUAGCGGCGGACGGGUGAGUGACACGUGGAUAACCUACCUAUAAGACUGGGAUAACUUCGGGAAACCGGAGCUAAUACCGGAUAAUAUAUUGAACCGCAUGGUUCAAUAGUGAAAGACGGUUUUGCUGUCACUUAUAGAUGGAUCCGCGCCGCAUUAGCUAGUUGGUAAGGUAACGGCUUACCAAGGCAACGACGCGUAGCCGACCUGAGAGGGUGAUCGGCCACACUGGAACUGAGACACGGUCCAGACUCCUACGGGAGGCAGCAGUAGGGAAUCUUCCGCAAUGGGCGAAAGCCUGACGGAGCAACGCCGCGUGAGUGAUGAAGGUCUUCGGAUCGUAAAACUCUGUUAUUAGGGAAGAACAAAUGUGUAAGUAACUAUGCACGUCUUGACGGUACCUAAUCAGAAAGCCACGGCUAACUACGUG
rnacentral:rRNA from 1 species